GACGAACGCUGGCGGCGUGCUUAACACAUGCAAGUCGAACGGUAAGGCUCCUUCGGGAGUACACGAGUGGCGAACGGGUGAGUAACACGUGAGCAACCUGCCCUUGACUUCGGAAUAACAGUUGGAAACAGCUGCUAAUACCGGAUAUGACCUCUCUCGUCAUCGGGUGAGGUGGAAAGUUCUGGCGGUCAAGGAUGGGCUCGCGGCCUAUCAGCUUGUUGGUGAGGUAACGGCUCACCAAGGCUUCGACGGGUAGCCGGCCUGAGAGGGCGACCGGCCACACUGGGACUGAGAUACGGCCCAGACUCCUACGGGAGGCAGCAGUGGGGAAUAUUGCACAAUGGGCGAAAGCCUGAUGCAGCAACGCCGCGUGCGGGAAGAAGGCCUUCGGGUUGUAAACCGCUUUUGUCAGGGAAGAAACGCUCUGGGUUAAUACCUCGGGGUAAUGACGGUACCUGAAGAAUAAGCACCGGCUAACUAC
rnacentral:rRNA from 1 species